rnacentral:rRNA from 1 species
UGGGGAAUAUUGGGCAAUGGGCGAAAGCCUGACCCAGCAACGCCGCGUGAAGGAAGAAGGUUUUCGGAUUGUAAACUUCUUUUAUCAGGGACGAAGAAAGUGACGGUACCUGAUGAAUAAGCCACGGCUAACUACGUGCCAGCAGCCGCGGUAAUACGUAGGUGGCAAGCGUUAUCCGGAUUUACUGGGUGUAAAGGGCGCGUAGGCGGGGAUGCAAGUCAGAUGUGAAAUACCGGGGCUUAACCCCGGAGCUGCAUUUGAAACCGCAGUUCUUGAGUAUCGGAGAGGCAGGCGGAAUUCCUAGUGUAGCGGUGAAAUGCGUAGAUAUUAGGAGGAACACCAGUGGCGAAGGCGGCCUGCUGGACGACAACUGACGCUGAGGCGCGAAAGCGUGGGGAGCAAACAGGAUUAGAUACCCUGGUAGU